AGAGUUUGAUCCUGGCUCAGGAUGAACGCUAGCGGUGUGCCUGAGAUAUGCAAGUCGAGCGACACUUUGAUCGCAAGAUUAAAGUGAGCGGCGGACGGCUGAGUGAUAUAUAGGAACUUGCCCCUAGGUAGAGAAUAGCCCCGAGAAAUCGGGGGUAAUGCUUUAUAGUGUUUCGCUCUGCGAGACUAAAGGACGUAACUGUUCGCCAAGGGAUAGGCCUAUAUCCUAUCAGGUAGUUGGUAAGGUAACGGCUUACCAAGCCUAUGACGGGUAGCUAAUCUGAGAGGAUGGUUAGCCAGAGGGGGACUGAGACACGGCCCCCACUCCUACGGGAGGCAGCAAUCAGGAAUAGUCGGCAAUGGACGAAAGUCUGACCGCGCGACACCGCGUGUAGGAUUAAGCUCUUCGGAGUGUAAACUACUGUGGCAGGGGAAGAAGUCCGCCUUUUUGGCGGAUUGACGGUACCCUGCUAGAAAGGAGCCGCUAACUGCGUGCCAGAAGCGUCGGUAAUACGUGGGCUUCAAGCGUUAUCCGGUUUUAUUGGGCGUAAAGGGUCGCGUAGGUGGCUUGAUAAGUUAUUUCUUAAAUUCCGGUGCUCAACACUGGACUUGGUUAUAAAACUGUUAAGCUAGAGUUUUCUAAAGGGGAACUGGAACUCAAAGAGGAGUAGUGAUAUGCGUUGAUACUUUGGGGAACACCAAUGGUGAAGACAAGUUCCUGGUAGAUUACUGACACUGAGACACGAAAGCUAGGGGAGCGAAGCAGAUUAGAGACCUGCGUAGUCCUAGCCCUAAACGAAUGUCUGCUACCUGCAUGAUCUCGAUUUAUCGAGCUCGUGUGGGAAAGGUAACCCGUUAAGCAGACCGCCUGGGGAGUACGACCGCAAGGUUAAAACUCAAAGGAAUUGGCGGGGAGGCACACAACCAGUGGAACAUGUGGUUCAAUUUGAUACGAACCAAAGAACCUCACCAAGGUUUGACAUGCUAGCGUCCAGCUUUCCGUAAUGGGAGAGUGUUCGCAAGAAGGCUAGCACAGGUGCUGCAUGGCUGUCGUCAGCUCGUUCCGUGAGGAGUGCCCUUAAGUGGGACAACGA
rnacentral:rRNA from 1 species